AGAGUUUGAUCCUGGCUCAGGAUGAACGCUGGCGGCGUGCUUAACACAUGCAAGUCGAGCGAAGCACUUAAGUCUGAUUCUUCGGAUGAAGACUUUUGUGACUGAGCGGCGGACGGGUGAGUAACGCGUGGGUAACCUGCCUCAUACAGGGGGAUAACAGUUAGAAAUGACUGCUAAUACCGCAUAAGACCACGGUACCGCAUGGUACAGUGGUAAAAACUCCGGUGGUAUGAGAUGGACCCGCGUCUGAUUAGGUAGUUGGUGGGGUAACGGCCUACCAAGCCGACGAUCAGUAGCCGACCUGAGAGGGUGACCGGCCACAUUGGGACUGAGACACGGCCCAGACUCCUACGGGAGGCAGCAGUGGGGAAUAUUGCACAAUGGAGGAAACUCUGAUGCAGCGACGCCGCGUGAAGGAUGAAGUAUUUCGGUAUGUAAACUUCUAUCAGCAGGGAAGAAAAUGACGGUACCUGACUAAGAAGCCCCGGCUAACUACGUGCCAGCAGCCGCGGUAAUACGUAGGGGGCAAGCGUUAUCCGGAUUUACUGGGUGUAAAGGGAGCGUAGACGGCACGGCAAGCCAGAUGUGAAAGCCCGGGGCUCAACCCCGGGACUGCAUUUGGAACUGCUGAGCUAGAGUGUCGGAGAGGCAAGUGGAAUUCCCAGUGUAGCGGUGAAAUGCGUAGAUAUUAGGAGGAACACCAGUGGCGAAGGCGGCUUGCUGGACGAUGACUGACGUUGAGGCUCGAAAGCGUGGGGAGCAAACCAGGAUUAGAUACCCUGGUAGUCCACGCCGUAAACGAUGA
rnacentral:rRNA from 1 species